GUUAGGAAUAUUGGACAAUGGGCGCAAGCCUGAUCCAGCCAUGCCGCGUGAACGAUGAAGGCCUUCGGGUUGUAAAGUUCUUUAGCCGAUGAUUAUAAUGACUGUAGUCGGAAAAUAAGCCCCGGCUAACUUCGUGCCAGCAGCCGCGGUAAUACGAAGGGGGCGAGCGUUAUUCGGAAUCACUGGGCGUAAAGCGUGCGUAGGCGGUCUCGUAAGUUAGGAGUGAAAGCCCAGGGCUCAACCUUGGAAUUGCUCUUAAUACUGCAAGGCUAGAAUCUCGGAGAGGAUAGCGGAAUUUCCAGUGUAGCAGUGAAAUGCGUAGAUAUUGGAAGGAACACCAGUGGCGUAAGCGGCUAUCUGGACGAGUAUUGACGCUGAGGCACGAAAGCGUGGGGAUCAAACAGGAUUAGAUACCCUAGUAGUCC
rnacentral:rRNA from 1 species